CAGGGCUUGACAUCCCGCUGGCAGCAUAUGUAAAGUAUGUUCCCUUCGGGGCAGCGGAGACAGGUGGUGCAUGGUUGUCGUCAGCUCGUGUCGUGAGAUGUUGGGUUAAGUCCCGCAACGAGCGCAACCCCUGCCCUUAGUAGCCAGCGCGUAAAGGCGGGCACUCUAGGGGGACUGCCGGAGACAAUCCGGAGGAAGGCGGGGAUGACAUCAAAUCAUCAUGCCCCUUAUGUUCUGGGCUACACACGUGCUACAAUGGCGUAAACAGAGGGAGGGGAACCCGUGAGGGGGGAGGGGAAGCCCAAAAACAGCGUCCCAGUUCGGACUGCAGCCUGCAACCCGGCUGCAGGAAGCGGGAAUCGCUAGUAAUCGCGGAUCAGAAUGCCGCGGUGAAUAGGUUCCC
rnacentral:rRNA from 1 species